AAACCUUCCGUGAGCGGUUACCAUUAUAACACUCAUAGAUACGAUUGUUUGCUUCACUUUGUUGUUCUAUGACGUCACAAAGAAUGUCGAACAUGACGACCGUUUUGUUUUGCGCCGUUCGAACGAUGUCGCUCCAAAGCCACGUUCUAUUCAACGUGUAAACACAGGUAUAAAAAAAAUGAGAGUCAUCUUCAGUUCCAGGAAGCGUUUGUACGAGAAUAUUCCCAUCUUUAAUAUUACAUGUGGAUGAAGUAGAGUAUUCUGAUCUUCAGUAGAAGGCGUGUUUCGUGUGAAGGAAAAUGUACAUCUCUAUUUGUUGAGUCGCGUUUCCAGCCAGGCUAUUAUCACUCUCUCUGAGGAACCCCUCCCUUGAACUGUUCCAGACUCUUCUGCAUCUUGCAGUCUGGGACCAGGUGGGGCGUAGGUGUACUACAUUAAAUAUGUACUCAUAGCAGACGGUUGGUUGACUGCAGGUAAAGGAUUGAUUUUCAAAAAUUUGUACUUUC